UGUGAGGGAGGUGAGUGGUCACGGUAGUGUGGUCUGCGGGUCGUCGGUGUGGUCUGUGGUAGUCAUUGUGCUCUCUGUGUGUUCUGUCCGGAUAGUGGUGAGCUUUGUACUGUGAGAGUGGUUGGUGUGGUCAGUCUGGUUUGUGUAGGUCAGUGUGGUCAGUGAGUGGUUAAUGUGCUCUCUGAGGUGUACUUAUAGCCCCUCAUACCCUGGAUAGCAGCAACCAUACCCCCCCAGUGGAGAGCCACGCAGAGGCCUGGGAACCACACAUCUGCCACUGGUGGGAUCUUGAAGGAAUAGCAAAUAGCUAAUGUUCCAUCAUUCAAGAAGUGAACCAUGGACAAUCCUGGAAACUACAGAUUGGAGGCGCGAGGGGAAUGAAGAGAGGAGAUGUGGCUUGAGAGAGUCCGCUGCCCAACCAGGCAGACCGGGCGGGAGUCCUGGGGUCAGCGACGCCCGGAGGAGAUCGAAUGGUGGAUAGAAGAUCUUGCUGGGACACUGCAGGUUAUUAAGAACAUCGGGUAUGGAAAGUCUACCGCACUCGCGAGUUGCUGGAUAGCAUUGGAGCUGGAGUUGUAGUGCACUGUGUUGAUGCCUGAUUCAGCCAACCAGGGAAGAAGGUGUCGG